rnacentral:rRNA from 1 species
UUGUAAGGCCUGCUCAAUGAAAAUUAAAUAGCCGCAGAAAUUUAACUGUGCUAAGGUAGCAUAAUCAUUAGAUUUUUAAUUAAAAUCUGGAAUGAAAGGAUUAACCUUUAAUAACUUUCCUAAAAAUAUAAUUUUCAAAUUAUAAUAAAAAUAAAAAUAUUUUUAUAAUUUAAAAAGACGACAAGACCCUAUUGAACUUAACUUAAGUUAAGCUGGGGCAGCUUAUUAAAAAAAAUUUUAAUAAAAAUAUUUAAAUAAAUACCUAAUAUUAUUAAAUUAAACAAGUUACCAUAGGGAUAACAGCGUAAUUUUUUAAAAAAGUUCUUAUCUAAUAAAAAGAUUGCGACCUCGAUGUUGAAUUAUAUACCUUUUUAAAGCAAAAUUAAAUAAAGGGGGUC